UUUUUGAGGCGCAGUCUUGCUCUGUUACCCAGGCUAGAGUGCAGUGGCACGAUCUCCUGCCUCUGCCUCCCGAGUAGCUGGGACUACAGGCUUGAGCCACUGCAUACAGCCUCUGAUGAAGAUUUGAUGAAUUAGAAUAGGAGAGGCAGGCAUGGUGGCUGACGCUUGUAAUCCUAGCACUCUGGGAGGCCAAGGUGGGAGGAUCGCUUGAAGCCAGGAGUUCCAGACCAACCAGGGCAACAUGGCAAAACCUCAUCUCAAAAAAAAAAAUGCAAAAACUAGCCGGGUGGGGUGGCGAGUGCCUGUAGUCCCAGCUACUUGGGAGGCUGAGGUGGGAGGAUCACCAGAACCCAGGCGGUUGAGGCUGCGGUGAGCUGUGAUCGUGCCACUGCACUCCAGCCUGAGCGAGAGUAAGACCCUAUCUCAAAAUUAAAAUAAAAAAAGAAUUAGAACAUAUCUUCUUCCCCCUUUCAGACCAAAGCCCAGCAGGGCUGGCUCGUGGCCGGCACGGUGGGCUGCCCAAGCACAGAGGAUCCCCAGUCCUCCGAGAUCCCCAUCAUGAGUUGCUUGGAGUUCCUCUGGGAACGGCCUACUCUCCUUGUGCUGGGUAGGUGGAUGUCCCUGCGUUUGUGCCCAGAUUACAUUUCCCGAGCAACUGGGUGUCCAGCUGGGCAACCCUAACCCUCAGCCCCACGCCCUGCAGGGAAUGAGGGCUCAGGUCUAUCCCAGGAGGUGCAGGCCUCCUGCCAGCUUCUCCUCACCAUCCUGCCCCGGCGCCAGCUGCCUCCUGGACUUGAGUCCUUGAACGUCUCUGUGGCUGCAGAGUUGGGAACCUUGAAUGAGAUCACACACACAAAGGCACUCAGCACACCAAACGCGGGGCAUCCCUCCUGUCCUGCCAGUUUGCAGGCCGUCUGAGCUCAGCUCAUUGAUUGAUUGAUUGGGUGAAAGGAUCAUGGAGAGGAUGCCAUCCAGUUGGAGAUAUGGUGUGAGCUGAAAAUCCCAGAGUAAAUGUCCUUUCCAGGACAGCAGAGACGAAAAGAGCUUUUCUGGCUGGGAGAUUCCAAGAAGGCUUUGUGAAGAAGGAGCAGCAUUAACCCGAGUUUCUCAGUGGGCUCAGACUUACAGGUGGAGAAGGGAAGGGGAUGCGGUGGGAGGAAUGGCAUGGGCAAAGGCCUUCAGUGAGAAAGCUGGGCACACAGCCGUAAAAUGGCUGUGAAUAGGCUGCUUUCCUAGAGCAAAGGGUAAGUGCGGUAAAACGGAAAGGGCGUUGUUCCCAAUUCCUGGAUUAUUAAAACAAAAGCGGGAUAUAUUGGGAAAAGAGUAGGAGGCUGAAUUAUUUGGAUAAUUACAAAACUGUUCCCUUGAAUCCCCGAUUUGCUUUGCUCCCUGUGGGUGGCUUGCCUCCUUUCUCCUUCACCGCGGGGAUCACAGGCUUCAGAAACCCUGAGGGGAAUGUCCCCAGAGAAGAGCCCCUCCCGUCUCCCCUUCUCCCUCAGGUCGUCACUUUGCCUCCUUAACCCCACUCCCACUCCUCAAAGGAAGAAGGUGGUGUUGGAGGAAGACUGGAGGGGGAGCCCCCUAUCUGAGGUCCCCAGACUGUCUUCAGAGAAAGGGAGGAGCAGCCUCAGCUUGGCGUCUGGGGCCCUGUUUCAUCCUUGGGUCCGUGAGGGAAGAGGAUUCUGCUCCCUGCCAGAAACAUUCCUGCUGGCAGAGCAGUCCCCGAUAGCAGCAGGAAUGAAGAACAUGGGCCGAAGGAGGAGAUAAUUUAGGCCUGUUUCCCUGGCUGAUUCCGCUGUGCCUCCUUCUAUCUCUCUGCCUCUGAUUCUCUCCUCCUCUGUCUCUCUCAUGGUCUCUGAAGGAGAUGAAUUCCAGGUGACUCUCCGGGCUCCACUGUGCUUCCUGGGAGCUGCGCGCUGGGGGUGAUGUUUGUCCCUUCUCACUGUAGACUGAGCUUGGGAUUUCUCAGCCCCCAGUUACUUAGAUGUGGCUUUGGUCCUCUUUGGGGCCCUAGGGUGGGUGGGGAGCCCACAUUUUCUCUCUCCCCCAUUCUUCUAGAGCCCAGCCAGCCUCCAUGGGCCACCAACUACAUCCUCCAUGGAGAAUCUUCAAAGCUCUAGAGCCCCUAUUCCCAAACCAUUUCCUGUCUUUUUUAUUACAUGGACUUACUCCAAAAAGGAGCGAAAGAACUUGUACAUGUUUCCAUUCUGAUCAGUUCUUUCUGGAUUUUCCGGGCAUUUUUGUUACCAGGUGUCUGAAAGAUCCUGAGUGCUAUGAACUGGCUUUCACAUCUGCGACCUGCUGUAGCCCUCCCACAACACUGGGCCCAGGGGUGUUGAUUUUCUUUUACAAAUGGGGCAACUAAGGCAUGUUAACAGCUGAGCCUAGGUUUGAACCUGGUUCCCCCUGUGCUGGUGCAGAGCUGUUUCCCCUGGGAUAUAUGUCUCCAGUGUCACUGCCCUUCCACUGGGUUUCCUGCUUUUACCUAACAUCGACUCACACGGUCAUUUUCGGGGUGGCAGGGCCUCCUGUCUUGUCGUUUUAAUGGCCACAUGGCAUUCCAUCAUGUUGAUGGAUCAUUUUGUUUGGUCACUCCCUCAUCGUUGGAUAUGUGUGAGGUGUCUAAUUUCUUGCUAUAAUAAAUGCAACUGCUGUA
rnacentral:lncRNA from 1 species